AGAGUUUGAUCCUGGCUCAGGAUGAACGCUAGCUACAGGCUUAACACAUGCAAGUCGAGGGGAAACGGCAUUGAGUGCUUGCACUCUUUGGACGUCGACCGGCGCACGGGUGAGUAACGCGUAUCCAACCUUCCCAUAACUAAGGGAUAACCUGCCGAAAGGCAGACUAAUACCUUAUGUAAUUCUUAGAUGACAUCAGAAGAGAAUGAAAGAUUUAUCGGUUAUGGAUGGGGAUGCGUCUGAUUAGCUUGUUGGCGGGGUAACAGCCCACCAAGGCGACGAUCAGUAGGGGUUCUGAGAGGAAGGUCCCCCACAUUGGAACUGAGACACGGUCCAAACUCCUACGGGAGGCAGCAGUGAGGAAUAUUGGUCAAUGGGCGAGAGCCUGAACCAGCCAAGUAGCGUGCAGGACGACGGCCCUAUGGGUUGUAAACUGCUUUUGUAUGGGGAUAAAGUCAAUCACGUGUGAUUGUUUGCAGGUACCAUACGAAUAAGGACCGGCUAAUUCCGUGCCAGCAGCCGCGGUAAUACGGAAGGUUCGGGCGUUAUCCGGAUUUAUUGGGUUUAAAGGGAGCGUAGGCCGGAGAUUAAGUGUGUUGUGAAAUGUAGACGCUCAACGUCUGACUUGCAGCGCAUACUGGUUUCCUUGAGUACGCACAACGUUGGCGGAAUUCGUCGUGUAGCGGUGAAAUGCUUAGAUAUGACGAAGAACUCCGAUUGCGAAGGCAGCUGACGGGAGCGCAACUGACGCUUAAGCUCGAAGGUGCGGGUAUCGAACAGGAUUAGAUACCCUGGUAGUCCGCACAGUAAACGAUGGAUGCCCGCUGUUGGUACCUGGUAUCAGCGGCUAAGCGAAAGCAUUAAGCAUCCCACCUGGGGAGUACGCCGGCAACGGUGAAACUCAAAGGAAUUGACGGGGGCCCG
rnacentral:rRNA from 1 species